GGCUACGGCCAUACCACCCUGAACACACCCAAUCUCGUCUGAUCUCGGAAACUAAGCAGGGAGGGGCCUGGUUAGUACUUGAUGGGAAAAAAGUGUAUGCAGAGAUCUGAGCUU
rnacentral:rRNA from 1 species